AGCAGCAAACACGCAGUGGACUUCAGUACCCCGCUGCAGCAAAGAUUUCUCUCCAGCAAACAGCCGGUGAAGCUAGAAAGCCCAAGAGAGGAAUGAGAUUCAUCUUGGUGGGAGCAUAUAUACAGCAAUCAAGUGGCAAUAGCAUUGUCAUGAGUUUGUUGGUCAUUCAUUUAGGGAGAAUUGGAUUCAGAAGGUGUAAGAGGCUCUGGACCUGAACCUCCUGGAGUGAGUUGAGGAUUCCUUUGUGUCAGGACCCACCCUAACCCAGGAUUCCUGGAUUACCACGCUAACAAUGCUGAAGUGGUGGAACCUGGCCCGUGGCGGGGGAAGCACAGAAAGGAUGGGCUCCUCCUUCGGGGAGGGAUUGGGGAGGAGUCUCUCCCCAGAUUGAUGAACGACAGGUGGAGGGAAAAGAACUAUAAAAGGAAUGGACACGGGACGGUUUGCGGGAGACACCACUGACUUGUAACAUCAAUAAACAUCAUUGCGUUCUAUCUA